GAGGGUCCUGUGGUCAUCAUCUCCCAUCAUCAUCAUAAGUGGGGGAGAGAAAUUGGAAGGAUACUAAUGUAGAACAGGAAAAAAGGGACCAUACACACGCACUUAUCCUCCAUUUCCUGACAGACGUCUGUAUGCAAGACGAUGUCCAAAAAAAGGGGAAUGACCAAAAAAUUGGAAGCUUCCCCAUUCAUAUGAAACUAUG
ensembl:ncRNA F25F2.3 ncRNA